AUUGAACGCUGGCGGCAGGCCUAACACAUGCAAGUCGAGCGAGCGGCGGACGGGUGAGUAAUGUAUGGGGACUGCCCGAUAGAGGGGGAUAACUACUGGAAACGGUAGCUAAUACCGCAUACUAUCGGAUAACCCAAUUGGUAUUCGCUCGUAGGUGAGGUAAUGGCUCACCUAGGCGACGAUCCCUAGCUGGUCUGAGAGGAUGAUCAGCCAAACUGGAACUGAGAUACGUCCCGUACUCCUACGGCGUCAGCAGGGGGGAAUAUCGAACACUGGGCUAAAGACUGAUGCAGCCAUGCCGGGUGUAGGAAGAUGGCCCUAGUGUUGUAAAGCACUUUCAGUCGGGAGGCGUUUCCGGCAGAAGAAGCACCGGCUAACUCCGGGCCAGCAGCCUCGUUAAUUC
rnacentral:rRNA from 1 species